rnacentral:rRNA from 1 species
AGAGUUUGAUUCUGGCUCAGGAUGAACGCUGGCGGCAUGCCUAAUACAUGCAAGUCGAACGAGAGGAAGGAAAGCUUGCUUUUCUGAAUCUAGUGGCGAACGGGUGAGUAACACGUAGGUAACCUGCCCAUGUGCCCGGGAUAACUUCUGGAAACGGAUGCUAAAACCGGAUAGGUAGCAGACAAGCAUUUGACUGCUAUUAAAGUGGCUAAGGCCAUGAACAUGGAUGGACCUGCGGUGCAUUAGCUAGUUGGUGAGGUAACGGCCCACCAAGGCGACGAUGCAUAGCCGGCCUGAGAGGGCGGACGGCCACAUUGGGACUGAGACACGGCCCAAACUCCUACGGGAGGCAGCAGUAGGGAAUUUUCGUCAAUGGGGGGAACCCUGAACGAGCAAUGCCGCGUGAGUGAGGAAGGUCUUCGGAUCGUAAAGCUCUGUUGUAAGAGAAAAACGACAUUCAUAGGGAAUGAUGAGUGAGUGAUGGUAUCUUACCAGAAAGUCACGGCUAACUACGUGCCAGCAGCCGCGGUAAUACGUAGGUGGCGAGCGUUAUCCGGAAUGAUUGGGCGUAAAGGGUGCGUAGGUGGCAGAACAAGUCUGGAGUAAAAGGUAUGGGCUCAACCCGUACUGGCUCUGGAAACUGUUCAGCUAGAGAACAGAAGAGGACGGCGGAACUCCAUGUGUAGCGGUAAAAUGCGUAGAUAUAUGGAAGAACACCGGUGGCGAAGGCGGCCGUCUGGUCUGUUGCUGACACUGAAGCACGAAAACGUGGGGAGCAAAUAGGAUUAGAUACCCUAGUAGUCCACGCCG